rnacentral:piRNA from 1 species
UCCCAUAAAGAGAAGGAACAAGGUUGCUGGU